rnacentral:tRNA from 1 species
CGGCCCGCAGCUCCGGGGUGGAGCACCCGGCUGAUAACCGGGAGGCGGAGGUUCGAUUCCUCCCGGGCCGA